UGGCCCCUGAUUAAUGAACAGCAAUCAGCCUUCUCCUAUCUCCUCCUUCUCUUGCGAUUCCUAAGGGCGUAUCAAACUGAAUUCUCACUCCCUCUCGUCACUCAACCGUACGCACAUCACAAGGAGCAAAGCAAAUUUCAUUCUUGGUCACUGAAUAACAAAUGUAAUCAAACCACUUUUGUAUUUCUAUCCCACGCCCACCACUAGCAACAAGCAGAAAUAUGAAUGUGUACAUUCUGAUACAGAAUUAGAAAACCCUGCCAUCUCUCCAUCCCCAUUCCUAGCCAUGAACCAUAGAGAAUCAAUCAUUCCUUAAGCAAAGUCCUCUUCCAUUUUUGGUUCAGCCGUGGACCAACGCCCAGGGAGAUUGGAGCACAAGCAUAAAUCCUUCCUCCUCCUAUAUUUUGUUCGGCCAAACCUCAAGCCUAGGAGCUGAAAACUCGAUUCCUUGAAAGGAAAAACGCUAAACUUAAAUUCUGACUCAUCUUCUCUUCUUCCAUGUAUGGCCGUAGACAUACAUCCUUAGAGCUGUAUACCCGAACUCUUGCGAGGAAAAGCCUUAUACUUGAGUCAAAUCACGUCUUCAUAACAUUUAAGAGCAAAGAGGCGAAGGUGCCUCCCAUGGCUGUGUUGCUUGUUUUCUGAACCCCACUUGAAAGGAUUUUUGUUGCAUGCAAAAAGGAGGACGGAAAAGCAUCUGAUGACAUUGUUUUUGGAUUUUUGCUGUUACCUGCUGCUGUUUGGAUUUCUGCUGUUAACUGUUUUUCUGUUGGAUGACUGUAUUAUUGGAAUAUUUUGGGAAGUUUGGAUUACUGUUGGAAGCAUUAUUAGGCUACUAUUUUAAGUUUUUUAUGAUCAGUUAGGACUUUGGAAAAAUUCUGGAAACGUUUUGCGGAAACUAUUUCUUAAGGUUUUGAAUGCAGUUUUAUAAACCGUU